rnacentral:rRNA from 1 species
GAUGAACGCUAGCGGCAGGCCUAAUACAUGCAAGUCGAGCGGCAAGUCGAGGAGUAAUCUGAGACCUAGAGCGGCGUACGGGUGCGUAACGCGUAUGCAACCUACCUCAUACAGGGGGAUAGCCCGGAGAAAUCUGGAUUAAUACCCCAUAGCACAGCACAAGGGCAUCUGCGAGCUGUUAAAGAUUCAUCGGUAUGAGAUGGGCAUGCGUCUGAUUAGCUAGUUGGCGGUGUAACGGACCACCAAGGCGACGAUCAGUAGGGGUUCUGAGAGGAAGGUCCCCCAAACUGGCACUGAGAUACGGGCCAGACUCCUAUGGGAGGCAGGAGUAGGGAAUAUUGGGCAAUGGACGAGAGUCUGACCCAGCCAUGCCGCGUGCAGGAAGAAGGCCUUCUGGGUUGUAAACUGCUUUUAUCUGGGAAGAAAAGGCCCAUGCGUGGGGCAUUGCCGGUACCAGAUGAAUAAGCACCGGCUAACUCCGUGCCAGCAGCCGCAGUAA